AGGAGUUGCAAGAAGCACAAGAUCGACAUGCAGAGGCUAUAAGAUGUAUUGAGACAUCGAAAGAUCACGUGCAAAAGUACAAUUUAAAGCAGCACAGAAAAUGAGUAUUUAUAAAGCAGAGAAGCAGUGUAGGAUGAGAAAUAUAUCAGUUAUGAUAAUAAGUAUAUUCUUGUUAAGCUGGAUAAAAAUUUCAGCUUUGCACUAUUUGGAAAUGCAUUAAUUUUGCAUAUUAUCUUUAAAUUUUGCACAUUAACUAUAAAACACAACCAGAAAAAUGGCACAAUUGCCAGAUCUUCUACUUUUUAAAAUUUUAAGAAUUUAUGUAAGACCUUCAGAUGUUUGUUUAGAAAUUAUACGGUACUUUUAAAAUUUAUGUGUGAGAAUAAUUUUAAAAUAUUCAUUUUAGGCUUGAAGUUGAAAAUGCUAAGUUAAAAGUUAUACUCAAAAAACAAGCGGGCAAUCGGGCUCCCUGCUCGGCAGGGAGUCUGCUUCUCCCUCUGACCCUCACCCUUCUCCUUCUCUCUCUCUCAAAAAAAAAAAAAAAAAAAAAAAAAUCAAAAAACAAACAAACAAAAAAAAACAACAAGCGGGCAAAAUUGAACAACUUCAGGAAAACCUGUUAAGUACAAGUUCGAUAAAGAAAUUGAUUGAGUUGAACCAAUCUCUGGAAUGUAGUUUGGAUCAAGAAAUGAAGAAAAAUGGUGAAUUAGAAAAAGAGAUUACUAGAUGCAGCAGGAGAUGGAAAGGAAUAUAACUAGAGAACUAGAAGAAGCUGCUGUUGAAUUAGAAUCAGACUCAAGGUGUAUGACCUCCUCUUUAGAAUCUACUUAUGAAUCACAUGUAAAUGACGAUCUACUAGUGAAAUCUUCAAAAGAAUUUUUACAGACUUUGAAGAAAAAUUAUAUGUUCUGAAAGACAAACAGUAAAAAUUUAUUUACUGGAUGUUUGUAUAACAUCUUAAUUGUGUCCUACUAAAUGUAUCGUGUGAAAAUCUUGAA